GAGAGGAGUCAGAGAAGAUAGAGACAAGGAGAGGAGACAGAGAGGAUAUAGACAAGGAGAGGAAACAGAGAGGAUAGAGACAAGGAGAGGAAACAGAGAGGAUAGAGACAAGGAGAGGAGGCAGAGAGGAUAAGGCAGGGAUACAGAGGAGAGAGAGGAUAUAGACAAGGAGAGGAGGCAGAGAGGAUAGAGACAAGGAGAGGAGACAGAGUGGAUAGAGACAAGGAGAGGAGACAGAGAGGAUAGAGACAAGGAGAGGAGACAGAGAGGAUGGAGACAAGGAGAGGAGACAGAGAGGAUAGAGACAAGGAGAGGAGACAGAGAGGAUAGAGACAAGGAGGGGAGACAGAGAGGAUAGAGACAAGGAGAGGAGACAGAGAGGAUAGAGACAAGGAGAGGAGACAGAGAGGAUAGAGACAAGGAGAGGAGACAGAGAGGAUAGAGACAAAGAGAGGAAACAGAGAGGAUAGAGACAAGGAGAGGAGACAGAGAGGAUAGAGACAAGGAGAGGAGACAGAGAGGGUAGAGACAAGGAGAGGAGACAGAGAGGAUAGAGACAACGAGAGGAGACAGAGAGGUUAGAGACAAGGAGGGGAGACAGAGAGGAUAGAGACAAGGAGAGGAGACAGAGAGGAUAGAGACAAGGAGAGGAGACAGAGAGGAUAGAGACAAGGAGAGGAGACAGAGAGGAU
ensembl:lncRNA